CAUGCUUUGCUUGCUGUUUGGGGUUUUAGGCUGGGUUUCUGUACAGCACUUUGAGAAUAUCAGCUGAUGUACGAAGGGCUAUAUAAAAAUAAAUUUGAUUUGAUUUGAAAUUGUAUUUGUCACAUACGCUGAAUACAACUUGUUGUUGACCUUACAGUGAAAUGCUUACUUACAAGCCCUUAACCAACAGUGCAGUUUAAAAACAUAUAUAUAAAAUAAUAUAAGACUAAGAAAUAAAAGUAACAAAUAAUUAAACAGUAAACAGUAAAAUAACAAUAGCGAGACUAUAGGCGAACCUGUUUGAGUUUGUCAGGAACUGCUGGGUCUUUGAGAAUCAACAGUUUCCCGUGUGCAUCAAUAUUAGGAAAGUGUUCAUAAUGUUUAGUAUACUCAGUGGGUACAGUACAGAUGGUUUAAACACUAGACGGCCCUGUAAUAGUUGGCUGUUUGUCUUUGCAUGGAUUUCACUCUGAAUCAACCAAUCAAAGUCAAUGAUGUAAGUAAUACGCGUAUUAUGUAAUAAUUCAUCAUUAUUACACUUUGUACAAUUAUCUGGUAAAAUCCUAUCUACUUUGCUUAUUUUCUAAAGAUUCCUUUCCAGAGAGAAUAUAUGCAAAGGUUAUUCUGUAAUAUACCCUUCCCCCAAUAUACAGCACCAGUCACAAGUGUGUCCAACAUUUUGACUGAUACUGUGCACAAAAUAUAAACACAACAUGUAAAGUGUUGGUCCCAUGUUUCUUGAGCUAAAUUUUUCAAAGAAAUGUUCCAUACGCACAAAAAACUUUUUUUCUCUAAAAUGUUGUGCACACAUUUUUUUACAUCCCUGUUAGUGAGCAUUUCUCCUUUGUCAAAAUUAUCCAUCCACCUGACAGGUGUGGCAUAUCAAGAAGCUGAUUAAACAGCAUGAUCGUUACACAGGUGCACCUUGUGCUGGGGACAAUAAAAUGCCACUCUAAAAUGUGUAGUUUUGUCACACAACACAAUACCACAGAUGUCUCAAGUUUUGAGAGAGCGUGCAUAUUGGCAUGCUGACUGCAGGAAUGUCCACCAGAGCUGUUGCCAGAGAAUUGAACAUUCAUUUCUCAACCAUAAGCCGCCUCCAACAUCAUUUGAGAGAACCGCAGACAACCGUUGACCACGUGUAUUGCGUCAUGUGGGGGAGCGGUUUGCUGAUGUCAACGUUGUGAACAGAAUGUGCCCCAUGGUGGAGGUGGGGUUAUGGUAUGGGCCCCAUGGUGGAGGUGGGGUUAUGGUAUGGGCCCCAUUGUGGAGGUGGUGUUAUGGUAUGGGCCCCAUGGUGGAGGUGGGGUUAUGGUAUGGGCCCCAUGGUGGAGGUGGGGUUAUGGUAUGGGCCCCAUGGUGGAGGUGGGGUUAUGGUAUGGGCCCCAUGGUGGAGGUGGUGUUAUGGUAUGGGGCAGGCAUAAGCUACGGACAACAAACAAAAUUGCAUUUUAUCAAUGGAAAUUUGAAUGCACAGAGAUACCGUGAUGAGAUCCUGAGGCCCAUUGUAAGUAAUAAUAGAAACAUAAAACAUAUAGUCACUUAUUUAGAAAGUAUUCAUACUCCUUGACUUAUUAUACAUUUUGUUGUGUUACAUCCUGAAUUCAAAAAAUAUUAAAUGUAGAUGUAUUUUCUCGCCCAUCUACAUACAAUACCUCAUAAAGACAAAGUGAAAACUUGUUUGUAGCUUUUUUUUGUUGUAAAUUUGUUGCAAAUUAAAUUAAAAAAUAUCUAAUUUACGUAAGUAUUCACUCCCCUGGGUCAAUACGUGUUAGAAUCACUCUUGGCAGCAAAUCACCUUUGGGGCAGCUGCGUGGCCUAGUGGUUAGAGUGUUGGACUAGUAACCAGGAGGUUGCAAGAUCAAAUCUGCAAGUUUGAAUCCCUAAGCUGACAAGGUAAAAAUCUGUUGUUCUGAACAAGGCAGUUAACCCACUGUUCCUAGGCUUUCAAUGAAAAUAAGAAUUUGUUCUUAACUGACUUGCCUGGUUAAAUAAAAACCUUUGGCAGUGAUUACAGAUAUGAGUCUUUCUGGGUCUAAGAGCUUUGCACAUUAUUAUUUUUUAAAUUCUUCAAGCUCUGUCAAGUUGGUUUUUGAUCAUUGCUAGACAGCAAUUUAAGUCAAAACUGUAACUCGGCCACUCAGGAACAUUCAGUGUCAUCUUGGAAAGCAAGUCCAGUGUAGAUUUGGCGUUGUGUUUUAGGUUAUUGACCUGCUGAACAGAGAAUUAGUCUUUGUGUCUGUUGGAAAUCAGACUGAAACAGGAUUUUGCCUGUGCUUAGCUUUAUUCCGUUUCUUUGUAUCCUUAAUGCCGAUGACAAGCAUACCCAUAACAUGAUGCAGCCACCACCAUGCUUAAACGUAUGAAGAGUGGUACGGAGUAAUGUGUUGUAUUCACCCCAAACAUAACACUUUGUGUUCAGAACAUAAAGUUUGUUUCUUAGCCACAUUUCUUUGCAGUUUUCCUUUAGUGCCUUGUUGCCACAUUUUUUGCAGUAAUACUUCAGUGCCUUGUUGCAAACAGGAUGGAUGUUUUGGAAUAUUUGUAUUCUGUACAGGCUUCCUUCUUUUCACUCUGUCAUUUAGGUUAGUAUUGUGAAGUAACUACAAUGUUGUUGAUCCAUCUUCAGUUCUCUCCUACCACAGCCAUUAAACUCUGUAACUGUUUUAAAGUCACCAUUGGCCUCAUGGUGAAAUCCCUGAGCGGUUUCCUUCCUGUCCGGCAACUGAGUUAGAAGAUACGCCUAUAUCUUUGUAGUGACUGGGUGUAUUGAUACACCAUCCAAAGUGUAAUUGACUUCACCAUGCUGAAAGUGACUCAAUGUCUGCUUUUUUAAAUUGACCCGUCUACCAACAGGUGCCCUUCUUUGCGAGGCAUUGGAAAACCUCCCUGGUCUUUAUGGUUGAAUCUGUGUUUGAAAUUCCCUGCUCGACUGAGGGACCUUACAGAUAAUUGUGUGUGUGGGGGUACAGAGAUGAAGUCCAACUUAUUAUGUGACUAGUUAAGCACAUUACUACUCCUGAAAUGAUUUAGGCUUCCCAUAACACUUUUUGACUGACUCAAGACAUUUCACUCUCUGCAGUAAAUCAUCUGCUCUACAGUAAAUCAUCCGCUCUGCUGUAAAUCAUCUGCUCUACAGUAAAUCAUCCUCUCUGCAGUAAAUCAUCUGCUCUACAGUAAAUCAUCCGCUCUGCAGUAAAUCAUCCGCUCUACAGUAAAUCAUCCUCUCUGCAGUAAAUCAUCCGCUCUGCAGUAAAUCAUCCUCUCUGCAGUAAAUCAUCCGCUCUACAGUAAAUCAUCC
rnacentral:lncRNA from 1 species